rnacentral:rRNA from 1 species
CCUACGGAGUGCAGCAGUGAGGAAUAUUGGUCAAUGGGCGGAAGCCUGAACCAGCCAAGUAGCGUGCAGGAUGACGGCCCUACGGGUUGUAAACUGCUUUUAUACGGGAAUAACGCGCCUUACGUGUAGGGCUUUGCAUGUACCGUAUGAAUAAGGACCGGCUAAUUCCGUGCCAGCAGCCGCGGUAAUACGGAAGGUCCGGGCGUUAUCCGGAUUUAUUGGGUUUAAAGGGAGCGUAGGCCGCAUGUCAAGCGUGCUGUGAAAUGUCCGGGCUCAACCCGGGCCUUGCAGCGCGAACUGGCGUGCUUGAGUCCGCGGAAAGCAGGCGGAAUUCGUCGUGUAGCGGUGAAAUGCUUAGAUAUGACGAAGAACCCCGAUUGCGAAGGCAGCUUGCUGCAGCGGAACUGACGCUGAUGCUCGAAAGCGCGGGUAUCGAACAGGAUUAGAUACCCGUGUAGUC